rnacentral:rRNA from 1 species
AGUGAACGCUGGCGGUAGGCCUAACACAUGCAAGUCGAACGGCAGCACAGUAAGAGCUUGCUCUUACGGGUGGCGAGUGGCGGACGGGUGAGGAAUACAUCGGAAUCUACUUUUUCGUGGGGGAUAACGUAGGGAAACUUACGCUAAUACCGCAUACGACCUACGGGUGAAAGCGGGGGAUCUUCGGACCUUGCGCGAUUGAAUGAGCCGAUGUCGGAUUAGCUAGUUGGCGGGGGAAAGGCCCACCAAGGCGACGAUCCGUAGCUGGUCUGAGAGGAUGAUCAGCCACACUGCAACUGAGACACGGUCCAGACUCCUACGGGAGGCAGCAGUGGGGAAUAUUGGACAAUGGGCGCAAGCCUGAUCCAGCCAUACCGCGUGGGUGAAGAAGGCCUUCGGGUUGUAAAGCCCUUUUGUUGGGAAAGAAAAGCAGCAGGUUAAUACCCCGCUGUUCUGACGGUACCCAAAGAAUAAGCACCGGCUAACUUCGUG